GGCCCCGUCUUCUAGUGGUUAGGAAAAUAGAUUCUCAGUCUAAAAACAUGAGUUCGAUUCUCAUCGGGGCUGCCA
rnacentral:tRNA from 1 species